rnacentral:rRNA from 1 species
UACGUAGGUGGCAAGCGUUGUCCGGAUUUACUGGGUGUAAAGGGCGUGUAGCCGGGUUGACAAGUCAGAUGUGAAAUCCUGCGGCUUAACCGCAGAACUGCAUUUGAAACUGUUGAUCUUGAGUACUGGAGAGGCAGACGGAAUUCCUAGUGUAGCGGUGAAAUGCGUAGAUAUUAGGAGGAACUCCGAUUGCGAAGGCAGCGUACCGGCAUCCAACUGACGCUGAGGCACGAAAGCGUGGGGAUCAAACAGG